UACUGGACAAUUUUUAAUUUUUUAAUUUAUAUCAAAAAGACUGCAAUCCUAUACCCAUAGGUAUACCUAAGUCCCAUUAAUCUCAAUGAGACUUAUUUCUGAGUAGAUGUGUACAGGAUUAUGUUGCUAAUGACUAAUAUCAAGAUAUUAAUUUCAUUUCUCAACAAGCCAAAACAGAUCAAAUACAACAGAAAUACUUUUCAUAUAACUUCAGAUCACCUAAAAUUCAAAGGAUCCGUUCUGACAUUAACUUCAUAAAAUGGGAGCUGCAUCAGUGUAAAUCCUGCACCACAGGAUGGACACAUGGAUGGAGAUGGCAGUAUGGCUCCUUCCCAUGCCUAUGAUACCUCAACUUUAGGAAUAGUGAUGAUGGUGUGGGAUGGCACACUGUGGACUCCUCCCAUAUUAGGGCUUCUGAUGCCACUCAAGCAGCAUAGGAAACAGCUGAACUGCAGCAGCUCUCAUGCUACUUAAAUAAACAUCAGAAGGGGCUUAAAGCUUUUCAGUUGAAUUGGUUCACAACUGUAAGCCAUUUAGUAAUCAAGUGAAAUUAAAUGAUACACAUAUGCAUGUAAACCAAUCCUAAAUUCAUUUAGAAUUGCCCACUCCCAACGUAAGCAUGCACUGCACGUUUGGGAAUGGGGAAUUAGGUGGCUGCAUUAUUCUUCACUGAUUAUGACAGCAUUCCAAGGGAAUAGAUGAAGACAGUUAUAUGCAAUUGCAAACUUAUCACUAGUCGUAUACUACCAAUGAUAAUCAGACUUAAGUCCAUUGAUUUCAAUAGGUCUACUCUGACUAACCUUGGAUAUCACCCUAUGAGUUCCCAUAAAAGUGUAAAUUCCACAGGUAGUAAAAUACCAGCCAUAACUGGUUGUAUAUGGUGCUAUUCCUUUACCUCCUGUGAUAUUUGUCAGAGAACUGAUAUUUCAUGCAUCCAGCCAUCAUAAGUACUGUACCGCUUUGACAUGCAUUUAUUGAGGUUAGUUAGAGUUAAAUUGUGACUUUGCAAAUUUACAGAAAGGCACAGAGAACAAAUACAAAGUGAUAGCAUAAGUAAUUAAUUUUGCACAUUGUCAGGGGUAUCCAAGUGAUGUUGAAAAAGUGAUUUUAGAUUCAUACAUGUCCUUAUCAAAAUGAAUAGUCUUAACACAAAAAUUAUGCAUGUUGACCAGGCAGUGUAUUAUCUAAUCUGUUUAUAUUAUCCAGUUUUAUAUAUUUACUGAUAUUAUUUGGAGACUAUGCAUACUGUGCAGGCAUUUUACAAAACCCCCUAUUUACACUGCCUAUUUAAACACAUUCUUUAUGCCUUCAUGUGAGUGUGCAAAAUUGCAUAUUUAUGCAAAUUAUUCACUGAAUUUAUAUUAACCACAAUAUAUACACACUUGACAGGAAUUAACAAUGUUUUCUAAGUAUAUACUGGUGCUACAAUUUCUGUCAAAACAAACUGUUAUAUAUAGAACCUUCUGGGUUUAGGUAUUAAUGAAAUCAUUUACCUAUGGUAUGGAGCAUCUUUUGUUUCUAUAGAAAGUUAGACUGAAGAUGCAAUUUACUCAAAGUAGGUUCUUCUGCCAUCAUUGUGCAUUUGGGUAUUAGAGGAAGGAGUUUCUAUCCAAAUUUCAAGCACCGGAUGAAAGAUCUUAGUUCUUUGUCAUAGUCUGUCUAUACCCUAUUUCGUAUCAAUUACCAAUGAAUGAAAGGUACUUUGCAGAUAUUUUAACAGAGAUUUUGGUGGACCAUGGCCAGAGCUUGCUGCUGCCAGCACAGUUUAGAUUAUGAGUGGCUGCUAUUUUACUUCAAGUGGCUAUAAUAUAAGCAUAGAAAGAGAUACUUAAAUGGGUCUGAGCAAAGAGCUACUGCCUCCUUUAAGUGGGGCAGUCUGGGGCAUGGUAGGGGAAAGGGGAAAAGCUUUAGUUCCAUAAAAUGUCCUUUCUUUUCCCUUUGUAUUGGGCUUACAUGUUGGAUACAAUCACUGCACUGCCGAUGGAAGCUUUACAGAAGCUAAAGACUGGGUUGUUUUCUAGAAGGGGAAAAAGCCAACCAUCACUCUUUUGAGUUUGUUCACUCCUGCAGCUCGACAACUGUCUACACUGCAGACUAAAGACAUUUAUUGCAAGUACCAAGACUUCCAUCUUCCCCCAUCACCCUUGGUCAUUCUACCAGGCCGGUUAUAUUGGAUUCCCCCCCCCUUCCUUAUUCUGUAUGAUUUAGAUUAUGGGAGGAAAGCUGGGCUUAAUGAUCCAGAGCUGGAGUUCCCUUAGCCCAAGAACUUUUCUGCAUCGUCUGCCUCUUCAAGUGAACAUGUAUGAUGAAGAUGUUGAUGAUUACAAUGAUGCAGAUGUUGCUGCUACUGCAAGGGAUCCAACCUGUUUUUAUUACCCCACCCCCCACUGCACCGGAGUCUGAAGGGACAGCCAAAGGAGCACUAUGUACAGGACCACAUCUAUUUCUGCUUUGUUUUCUAACCCUAGUCCCACCCCGUUGAUGACUAUGACAACAACAAAAAGGGCAAAUGCAUUUUUUACAUUUCUUGAUAAUUUCUAAAGCAAUGUAUCAUUGCUUUCUUUAGACUGAUGCCAAUAUAAGAGUUGUAUGGGUCUCAGCCAGGCUUCUGUGUCUUUUUCUGACUGAAGAGUUUGAGAUCAUUCUGUGAAACAUUCUUACUUAAAGGCAAGUUACGAUUUGACAACCAUGGAGACAACUUUUCAAGAAAACACAGCUCGCUAACUGUUCACUUGCUGAGAUUAUUCUCUUAGUAACAAUUGCAAUUUGUGCGCUUCUUAAUAACAUUUAAAAAUAAACUCAUCCUUUACAGGAAGAGCCCACAUUUGAACCAAAUUUGGUAUAAUUGUACAUCGAUUUGUAUUAAACAUUACAGUUCUGAUAUAAUAUAAAUGGAAUGGAAUAUGAAUCAAGGAACUGUGAGGUUGGAUAGAUGAAUGGACAGUUGUGUCCAAUUAAUCUCUAGAAGAUUAAUCAAAAUCCUGGGUUGGGUUCUGACUUCACACUACAAAGAGAGGGUUGUUUUAUAUGUUACAGUUUCUUACAUGGAAAUUAUUUGGGCAAAACUGUUCUUUACCUGAUAAAAGAUCAAAACAGUAACAUUUGCCAGGCCAUCAAAAUUCUAACACAGAAAAAGAAAAAAUGUGAGAUUUAAUAACAGAUAUAUAUAUGAAGAGAACUAUGCCAUGUAUACAUGAGAUUCUUAAUCAUAUUCAACUUAACAAGCAUGGGAAAUUAACUGAUUUGAAGCUAGUGAGACCACACAAAGAGAACUGAAAUUAAUAGAAUAUAUGGCUGAAAGGAACCUCCUUUGUCCUCCAGCUUAAUAUUGCUAAUUUCACAUAAGUAAAUGGGGGGAGGCGGGCAGCAAAGGGAUAAGGAAUACCAUAUGACAUUUUUACUAAGUAGACUGGAUCACACAAGGAUAAAGGCCCUGAGAUAGUAGUGACUACAUAAGAAAAAAUGUGACUCCAGAAUAGAGAGACAGGGUUGUCUCAUUUAUUGUAGUUUCCUAGGUGGAGACUGGUCCUUUACUUGCAAUGAAGUGUGGGAUUUAAUCAGAUCCACACCAUGUAUUAACAAUAUGCAGUUCAUACAGGUAUACGAUAUACAUUCCAUGCAGGAAGUACUAUCCUAAAUAUUGAAGGCCUAUUAGGACUUGGGGACGGGGAAGAAUUCAGACUCCUUUGUCCGCUAGAACUUAUUGCUGCUGAGAGGACAGAAAUGGUUGAGGGACAGUGGUGGGAAUGGCCUCCAACCAGAGUGGUACAACAGGAGGAUAGUGCUUUAACCUAUACAUACAUACUCAGCAGCCACAAACUUGAGAACUAUAAUACCUGGUGGGGUGGGGGUGGGGUUUGUUCAGCUAGACCUAAACCUCAGCAGUACUUUGCAGGGAUAGAAGCAUUAUCCUGACAUGAGUCAGGGGACCUUGAACUUAUUUCAGAUUGUUCAGGCCUGGGGGCUGCCAUCACCAUCCUGAAUUCUGAGUGCUAUUGCAUUGUAAAUCAAUGCAGAUAUGUUUUGGAAUUGCCACAGCUCCCAAACUGAAAACUAUAGCAGGGGAGGGAUAUUUUUUUAAAUCCCUAUUCCCUGUGUUGUCUGGGAGAGCUCCUCUUUUUCCUUGUUGAAAAGCCAAUCCAUCCCUCCAGCGUUCAUCACUGUCAGAGAUUUUAUACACGUCUUAACGUACCAUUAUUACAGGAGAGCUUUGCUCAUAUGUAGUUCUUGUUGGAAGAUGGGUUCUUUUCUGUCCCUUCCCCUUUUCUUUUUUACAAAAUAAUAUUUUUUCUGAAUACCUGGGGAAUGCACAGAAACCCUUACUUUGCCCAUGGGUGCCCCAGUUUUAUGUGCUAUGUGUCAGAUUGCCGUUAGGAGGAACAAGUGGGACCUGGCAGGACCUGUAAAAAAUACUGUCGUAUACCUUCACAGUUUGGGUUCCAGCCAGCCCCUCCUUCCAAGCAGGGCAUUCCACUCCUCCAUCUUGUUCUCCAUUUUCCUUUUCCAGCUAUCACACAAUAUUCUAUGGCUAUUGCGCAUGUUCAGUCCUCAUUGUUCGGGGGGGGGGGGGGCUUUGUGUGUUUUUGUUUUUAAAGAAGCCUUUUUAUACUUCUGCAAACAUUAGGGGUCCUCCAAGCAUGCUGCGACAUCCAGAGACAUUCCGGACAAAACACUCACUACAUAAGUUUAGUAUUAGAAGGAGUGUUAAUGAUGAAACAGCCAUCAGUGAUAUUAUUCUGCAAUUAUUUUAUCAGAAAAUUUUCUCUCUGGUAUCCUAGCUGAAGUCCACUGGUGACAGAUGGUUCAAUCAAUCAGUCUUCUGCCCAAACUCCAUUUAAUGUGAGGAUUUGUGCAAGGGGGGGCGGGCGGAAUCCUGAUUAAUUGUGCUGUACAUAUUUGGGGCAUAUAUCCUUGAGCUACAUUUUAUACUAUCAGAAAGAGAUAUGAAAUAAGAGGAAAUAAACCCAGUUUGAUCUUAGUUCAUCUCAGUUUCUGAAAGUAUGAAUUUCAACACAGUUCCUGUAUUAUUGCCUUGUAGUGGUGUACGUAUUAUUGUAGCAUCUUGUAUUCACCACUGACAGAGAUAGUAUAAUACCAUUGGUAUCCUAUCGGUCUGAAUGUAAUACUUUUCUUAUGCUCUUAAACAAAUCAUUUAGGGAUCUACUUUUAGUGGACUAUGCUAAUCUAUAUUAACCUUUAGCAUCAUAAGUAAUUUCUUUAAUUAUUUAUGGCCUGCUUUUCAUAAACUAUUUUCUAAAGUCUGCUUACAAAGUAAGCCGUCACAUAAAAAACAAAAACAAUUCUGUGUUUUCAUGAACAGUAAAAUGAACACAGAAGCUGCUCUAGGCAUAUUAUCUGGCUCAUGAUCACCAAUUACUUAAUAAGAAUUCAUGUCAGUAUCUUGCACAUUGGUAGAGAAGGUAGUUUAUGUGCUGUGAAAAUUUUAAAAAUCCCAAAAUUACCACCUCAGGGUUGUUGUAGGUCACAAUGUUACAGUGACGGGAGAAACCACAUCAGACAAAAUCCUCCUUCUGUGCCACUCUUGUUAGUGUCCUAGCAGCUUAUGUCCUCUUGGCUCCCUGGUCACAGCCUCUAACCCUCUUAUCCUCCCUUUGCCUAUCCACCUCCUUCCUGCACUGAGCCCCCUGGGAGGCUUUGCCUCAGUACCCCUUUCUCCAACUCAGCCCACCUUUCUCCAUCUUUGCAUCACACAAGCUUCCUCAGGUUCCUAUUUAUCCCAAAUGGAUCAUUCCACAUCAAAUCAAUGCAAAAUAACCAAGGGUUUUCUCACCCACCAUUUCAGAUUUUGAUGAAACUUGGUGUACACCCUUCACUUAUGAUUGAAAGAAACCCCCUUAAUUUUUUCCCCUCUAUCUCAAACGGUUUUAUUUUUAAAGCACUUCAAAGUUUCGUUAAAUCUGCAUUGUCUGUCCCUCUUGAGACUCUCGGCACAAGAUACCCUUGUGUACAUUCUGGGGUUUUUUUCCCUCCAUAAACAAUUAUCAGAUCUCUUUGAAAUUUUACACAGAGCUCAAUAAAAUGAUGAGGAUUUCAGAAAAAAAUACACCAGCACUCAAAAGAUUUUAUAAAUGCCUACAAAAAAUUAUAAAUGCACUUGUAGCCUAGUUUUUUUAUGGAAAAACUAGGUUUAGAAAACCUGAAUUUACAGCAUGUGGGCAUGAUGUAACCAAAAGUUUUUGAUGUUGAAAAUUAUUGCAAAGACAUGCUCUUUCUUGACAAAGAAUGAAAUUUGUGAUUUUUUAUUCCUUGUAAUGAAAAUUUUACGUUUUUUGGACAUCGUGGGGGAAAAUGGCUACUGGGUAGCCAUUUUGUACAACUUUCCUACAAUCCAUAGCUGUAAUAGAAAACAUUAAUGAAACAAAGUUGUUCAUCUUAAAAAUUAAAAUAAUAUUAUUAUAGGUUUUUUUCAAAAGUGCAGAUUUGUUUUAAUUUUGGGAUUUUGAAGUUAUGAAAAUUGGCUAUCAGGAAUAU